UACGUAGGGGCUAGCGUUGUCCGGAUUUAUUGGGCGUAAAGAGCGUGUAGGCGGCCAGGUAGGUCUGCUGUGAAACUCGAGGCUCAACCUCGAGAUGUCGGCGGAAACCAUCUGGCUAGAGUCCGGAAGAGGAGAGUGGAAUUCCUGGUGUAGCGGUGAAAUGCGCAGAGAUCCGGAAGAACACCGGUGGCGAAGGCGGCUCACUGGACCGGAACUGACGCUGAUGCGCGAAAGCGUGGGAGC
rnacentral:rRNA from 1 species